rnacentral:rRNA from 1 species
UACGGAGGGGGCUAGCGUUGCUCGGAAUGACUGGGCGUAAAGGGCGCGUAGGCGGAUGGCACAGUCAGAUGUGAAAUUCCCGGGCUUAACCUGGGGCUGCAUUUGAUACGUGUGAUCUAGAGUGAGGAAGAGGGUCGUGGAAUUCCCAGUGUAGAGGUGAAAUUCGUAGAUAUUGGGAAGAACACCGGUGGCGAAGGCGGCGACCUGGUCCUUGACUGACGCUGAGGCGCGAAAGCGUGGGGAGCAAACAGG